rnacentral:rRNA from 1 species
AGUGAACGCUGGCGGUAGGCCUAACACAUGCAAGUCGAACGGCAGCACAGUAGAGCUUGCUCUUACGGGUGGCGAGUGGCGGACGGGUGAGGAAUACAUCGGAAUCUACUUUUUCGUGGGGGAUAACGUAGGGAAACUUACGCUAAUACCGCAUACGACCUACGGGUGAAAGCAGGGGAUCUUCGGACCUUGCGCGAUUGAAUGAGCCGAUGUCGGAUUAGCCAGUUGGCGGGGUAAAGGCCCACCAAGGCGACGAUCCGUAGCUGGUCUGAGAGGAUGAUCAGCCACACUGGAACUGAGACACGGUCCAGACUCCUACGGGAGGCAGCAGUGGGGAAUAUUGGACAAUGGGCGCAAGCCUGAUCCAGCCAUACCGCGUGGGUGAAGAAGGCCUUCGGGUUGUAAAGCCCUUUUGUUGGGAAAGAAAAGCAGCAGGUUAAUACCCCGCUGUUCUGACGGUACCCAAAGAAUAAGCACCGGCUAACUUCGUG